GACGAACGCUGGCGGCGUGCUUAACACAUGCAAGUCGAACGGAAAGGCCCUGCUUUUGUGGGGUGCUCGAGUGGCGAACGGGUGAGUAACACGUGAGUAACCUGCCCUUGACUUUGGGAUAACUUCAGGAAACUGGGGCUAAUACCGGAUAGGAGCUCCUGCUGCAUGGUGGGGGUUGGAAAGUUUCGGCGGUUGGGGAUGGACUCGCGGCUUAUCAGCUUGUUGGUGGGGUAGUGGCUUACCAAGGCUUUGACGGGUAGUCGGCCUGAGAGGGUGACCGGCCACAUUGGGACUGAGAUACGGCACAGACUCCUACGGGAGGCAGCAGUGGGGAAUAUUGCACAAUGGGCGGAAGCCUGAUGCAGCAACGCCGCGUGCGGGAUGACGGCCUUCGGGUUGUAAACCGCUUUCGCCUGUGACGAAGCGUGAGUGACGGUAAUGGGUAAAGAAGCACCGGCUAACUACGUG
rnacentral:rRNA from 1 species